GUGCCAGCAGCCGCGGUAAUACGGAGGGUGCAAACGUUGCUCGGAAUCAUUGGGCGUAAAGCGCACGUAGGCGGCCUAUCAAGUCGGGCGUGAAAGCCCUCGGCUUAACCGAGGAAGUGCGUUCGAAACUAAUAGGCUUGAGUACGGGAGAGGAUCGCGGAAUUCCCGGUGUAGAGGUGAAAUUCGUAGAUAUCGGGAGGAACACCAGUGGCGAAGGCGGCGAUCUGGACCGAUACUGACGCUGAGGUGCGAAAGCGUGGGGAGCAAACAGGAUUAGAAACCCUCGUAGUCC
rnacentral:rRNA from 1 species